rnacentral:rRNA from 1 species
GGUUGAUCCUGCCAGUAGUCAUAUGCUUGUCUCAAAGAUUAAGCCAUGCAUGUCUAAGUAUAAACAUCUUUAUACCGUGAAACUGCGUACAGCUCAUUAAAACAGUCAUAAUUUAUUUGAAGGUCAUUUACUACAUGGAUAACCGUAGUAAUUCUAGAGCUAAUACAUGCGUAAGAUUCCGACUCGUAAGGGAAGGAAGGUAUUUAUUAGAUAAAAAACCAAUGGCGUAGCAAUACGUCACAAACAUUGGUGAUUCAUAGUAACUGUUCGAAUCGUAUAACUUUAUUGUUGA